UACAGAGGUCCCAAGCGUUGUUCGGAUUUACUGGGCGUAAAGGGCGCGUAGGCGGCAUGACAAGUCACUUGGGAAAUCUCUGGGCUUAACCCAGAACGGCCAAGUGAUACUGUCGCGCUAGAGUGCAGAAAGGGCAAUCGGAAUUCUUGGUGUAGCGGUGAAAUGCGUAGAUAUCAAGAGGAACACCUGAGGCGAAGGCGGGUUGCUAGGCUGACACUGACGCUGAGGCGCGAAAGCCAGGGGAGCAAACGGG
rnacentral:rRNA from 1 species